CUGUGAUGCCCUUAGAUGCUCUGGGCUGCACGGUAAGCUUAACCCCCUAUAACCCUUAUUUUAUUAACGACUUUAUGCUAACGAUAUUUUACAGCGCGCUACACUGACA
rnacentral:rRNA from 1 species